GGGAGUGGCUUCUUCUUAACCCAACACGAGAGACACUGAUAACAAGUCUUUCAUCUUGUGCCAUCUGGGGGCUAUAUAGGUGGACACAGUUGUCUGUCAGUAGAGUGGAGCUAUUGUGACAGCUUCCUGCCAGGUUCAGCAAGCAAUCAGGGGAAACGCACGACUGCUCAGAUAAAGUGAGGGCACACAAUACCUAUUGUGUCCUAAUUGCGGGUCAAACUAUUACCCAAAUGGAAUGUUUUUCAGCUGAAGAAUGAAGACUGUCGCUAAAAAGGCUUACAAAUUCCAACCGCAAGGUCAGAAAAACAAGAAAGCGUGGAUGAGAAGAACAAAACAGGCUAGAGGAAAUGGAUUCUAGCCAAAGGCAAACAAACAAGUGACAAUGGCUUUAAAUGAAUUACCUUGACCUUGUGCGGUCAACAGCAUUUCGAGUUUAAGUUCAGUGUUAUGAGGAAAGUAUUUGAAAGGGUG
ensembl:lncRNA